CCUACGGGAGGCUGCAGUGAGGAAUAUUGGUCAAUGGGCGGGAGCCUGAACCAGCCAAGUCGCGUGAGGGAAGACGGUCCUAUGGAUUGUAAACCUCAUUAGGCGGGGAGCAAUGCCGGGCACGCGUGCCCGGAGGGAGAGUACCCGCCGAAUAAGCAUCGGCUAACUCCGUGCCGGCAGCCGCGGUAAUACGGGGGAUGCGAGCGUUAUCCGGUUUUAUUGGGUUUAAGGGGGGCGUAGGCGGAGUUUUAAGUCAGCGGUAAAAUGUCCGGGCUCAACCCGGGCCGGCCGUUGAAACUGGGGAUCUAGAGUGGGCGAGAAGUAUGCGGAAUGCGUGGUGUAGCGGUGAAAUGCAUAGAUAUCACGCAGAACUCCGAUUGCGAAGGCAGCAUACCGGCGCCCGACUGACGCUGAGGCACGAAAGCGUGGGGAUCGAACAGGAUUAGAUACCCCUGUAGUC
rnacentral:rRNA from 1 species